rnacentral:lncRNA from 1 species
CAAAAUCAAACUGCAUAUAUAUAAUCAUGCCAAAUUCAUUACAAUACUAGAAAAUCAAAGGUAAAGGUAACAUCCUUGUAAACCAAAAAGAAACAUAAAACACUUUCAAAGACAAGAAAACAUAGAACCACUAUUGAUAUAAUCAAAGACAAAGGUAACAUCCUUGCAAACCAAAAAGAAACAAAAAACACUUUCAAAGACUAGAAAACAUAAAACCGCAAUUGAAAUAAUUAAUUUCCAAUAUUUUCAUAAAGCUUCAAACCUAUAAAUAUGCCCGCUAACACAACAGUUGAA